rnacentral:rRNA from 1 species
CGGGGCAACCUGGUGAGUAAAGUGGCGUACGGGUGAGUAACACGUGGAUGAUCUACCUCUGGGUGGGGAAUACCUCUGGGAAACCGGAGACAAUACCGCAUAAGCUCGAGAGAGGAAACCCGCAAGGGGCCGAGAGAGGAGUCCGCGGCCGAUUAGCUAGUUGGUAGGGUAAAGGCCUACCAAGGCGAAGAUCGGUAGCCGGCCUGAGAGGGCACACGGCCACACUGGCACUGAAACACGGGCCAGACUCCUACGGGAGGCAGCAGUGGGGAAUCUUGCACAAUGGGGGAAACCCUGAUGCAGCGACGCCGCGUGAGCGAUGAAGCCCUUCGGGGUGUAAAGCUCUUUCGACGGGAACGAUAAUGACGGUACCCGGAGAAGAAGCUGCGGCUAACUACGUGCCAGCAGCCGCGGUAAUACGUAGGCAGCAAGCGUUGUUCGGAGUUACUGGGCGUAAAGAGUGCGUAGGCGGUGCCCUAAGUCUGUUGUGAAAUCUCCCGGCUUAACUGGGAGGGUGCGGUGGAAACUGGGGUGCUUGAGUGCGGGAGAGGUUAGCGGAAUUCCUGGUGUAGCGGUGAAAUGCGUAGAUAUCAGGAGGAACACCGGUGGUGUAGACGGCUGACUGGACCGCGACUGACGCUGAGGCACGAAAGCGUGGGUAGCAAACAGGAUUAGAUACCCUGGUAGUCCACGCCCUAAACGAUGCACACUUGGUGUGAGCCAUUCAUUUGGUUCGUGCCGGAGCUAACGCGUUAAGUGUGCCGCCUGGGGAGUACGGUCGCAAGGCUGAAACUCAAAGGAAUUGACGGGGGCCCGCACAAGCGGUGGAGCAUGUGGUUUAAUUCGACGCAACGCGAAGAACCUUACCUGGGCUCGAACGGCUUCUCAACGACUUUGGAAACAGGGUUAUCCCGCAAGGGAGUGGAGUCGAGGUGCUGCAUGGCUGUCGCCAGCUCGUGUCGUGAGAUGUUGGGUUAAGUCCCGCAACGAGCGCAACCCUUGUCCUGUGUUGCUAACCGAAAGGUGCACUCUCAGGAGACCGCCAGCGAUAAG